UAGGGUAAACUAAUCUCAUGCUUGGAAGAUACUACAGAUCUGUAUACAUCCAUAUAGCGCUCACCUAUUUCAUAGCUUCAAUAAGUCAAAAUUAAGUAACUGUCGGUGCGUAGAUUAUGGCAUUCUAGCACCAAUGUUUAUUAAGUGCACAAUUUUUGAACGCACUUUCUUGGUUGCAUUGUUUGUAAGUUUAUGGAGUGGUUUUGUUAUUAUGCUUGUGUAACGUCGUGUGUUUGAGAUUCUUCUGUGUUUCCCUGUUUAGGGGAGUUAGUUAUGGGAUUGGAGUUCUACACUAAAUACUAGAUUCAGCAGUGUUUUGUUGUGAUUGCGAGCAUUUAUGUGUCACGUUGUCGGACAGCAAGGUCCAGUGGAGGGAGCAUGAAGAAAAGGUCAUCCAAAGAAAAUCUAGUUGGACAAUGGAAAAGAAUGGACCGGACCCUCUCUUGAUAUUCUACUAAGAGCAGCCGAUUACCGAGAAAAUAGAGAAAUUCCGUUACGCCGUCACAGCGCCCCUACCACAUUUCAAUAAGCUUGCCAACCUGCCUACGUGUACAGUACUUGACGGCACAGAGGUGCACAGCUUGGUGCAUGUAGUGAAUAGCUGGACUAAACGUCUAUGUGUGUCUUUAAUAAUGGUGAACAGAAAACUUAACACAUUAUGAGGAUAGCUAUGAACCAAUCCUAAGGCACGCACUUAGCGGGCCAAAUUGAAUGGUAAUACUAGUGCCUAUUCUGACGACCGGUCCGCCCCUGUUAUGCGGAUUUUAUGGUUGAAUAAACUUCUGUACUUAAAUUAGUUUGAUUGGUUAACUAAAAUUAUUGGAAUUCUAGACAGUAAUUUUAAUUAAAAUAUAUGAAAGUGUCGUGUAUUGACAAGUCACAUUACUUUGUACAUUAUCACAUUUAGAUUUGACUACAUUCAUUCUUAU